AGAGAGAGACAUGCGCGCAUAUCAAUAAGCGGAGGAAAAGAAACUAACAAGGAUUCCCCUAGUAACGGCGAGUGAAGCGGGAAGAGCUCAAAUUUGAAAUCUUAAAGGGUUUCCCUUUACGAAUUGUAGUUUAAAGAAGUGUUUUCUGUUGAGGUUUUGGUAAAAGUUCUUUGGAAUAGGACAUCAUAGAGGGUGAGAAUCCCGUAUUUGACCUUUACUUUCAACUUUGUGAUACACUUUCAAAGAGUCGGAUUGUUUGGGAAUGCAGUCCAAAAUGGGUGGUAAAUUUCAUCUAAAGCUAAAUAUUGGCGAGAGACCGAUAGCGAACAAGUACCGUGAGGGAAAGAUGAAAAGAACUUUGAAAAGAGAGUUAAACAGUACGUGAGAUUGUCAAAAGGGAAGCGUUUGACACCAGUGUUGUUUUUCUGAAAAUCAAUUAAAGAACUGUUUAUGCUAAGUUGUUUAGACUUUAUCAGCUAACUGUUUAGUUUUGAGCUUUUCUUUAAUGCACUUUUCAGGUUAACAAGUCAACAUCAAUUUCUUUUGCUGUAAAAAAGCUUGAGGAAGGUGGCUUGAGAUUCGUCUUAAGUGUUUAUAGCCUCUUGCCUAUGCAGUCGGAGAGAUUGAGGUCUGCAGCGUAGAUCCUUCGGGGCUAAAUGCAUUUGUGCUAAGUUAUAGCAUUUUAUAGACAACUUGUUGACUAUGAUUUGUCUUGUAGCUUACUCGCUUAUGUUAUUUUACCUACGCUUAGGAUGUUGAGCGCAUGUCUCUCUCU
rnacentral:rRNA from 1 species